rnacentral:rRNA from 1 species
GCUUUGAAGUGUGGACGCCAGUCUGCAUGGAGCCGACCUUGAAAUACCACCCUUUAAUGUUUGAUGUUCUAACGUGGACCCGUGAUCCGGGUUGCGGACAGUGUCUGGUGGGUAGUUUGACUGGGGCGGUCUCCUCCUAAAGAGUAACGGAGGAGCACGAAGGUUGGCUAAUCCUGGUCGGACAUCAGGAGGUUAGUGCAAUGGCAUAAGCCAGCUUGACUGCGAGCGUGACGGCGCGAGCAGGUGCGAAAGCAGGUCAUAGUGAUCCGGUGGUUCUGAAUGGAAGGGCCAUCGCUCAACGGAUAAAAGGUACUCCGGGGAUAACAGGCUGAUACCGCCCAAGAGUUCAUAUCGACGGCGGUGUUUGGCACCUCGAUGUCGGCUCAUCACAUCCUGGGGCUGAAGUAGGUCCCAAGGGUAUGGCUGUUCGCCAUUUAAAGUGGUACGCGAGCUGGGUUUAGAACGUCGUGAGACAGUUCGGUCCCUAUCUGCCGUGGGCGCUGGAGAACUGAGGGGGGCUGCUCCUAGUACGAGAGGACCGGAGUGGACGCAUCACUGGUGUUCGGGUUGUCAUGCCAAUGGCACUGCCCGGUAGCUAAAUGCGGAAGAGAUAAGUGCUGAAAGCAUCUAAGCACGAAACUUGCC